AUAGCGUAUAUUAAAGUUGUUGCAGUUAAAAAGCUCGUAGUUGAACCUUGGGCCUGGCUGGUCGGUCCGCCUAACCGCGUGCACUGAUUCGGCCGGGCCUUUCCUUCUGGCUAACCCCAUGCCCUUCACUGGGUGUGGCGGGGAUCCAGGACUUUUACUUUGAAAAAAUUAGAGUGUUCAAAGCAGGCCUAUGCUCGAAUACAUUAGCAUGGAAUAAUAGAAUAGGACGGCGGUUCUAUUUUGUUGGUUUCUAGAGCCACCGUAAUGAUUAAUAGGGAUAGUCGGGGGCAUCAGUAUUCAAUUGUCAGAGGUGAAAUUCUUGGAUUUAUUGAAGACUAACUACUG
rnacentral:rRNA from 1 species